GGCCUCGUAGCUCAGCUGGUAGAGCAUGCGCGUACAAAGCGUAGGCAGCGUCCAUGCGUGGGUUCGAAUCCCACCAAGGCUG
rfam:Echinostoma caproni strain Egypt genome assembly, scaffold: ECPE_scaffold0000094